rnacentral:rRNA from 1 species
UACGUAGGGGGCAAGCGUUGUCCGGAUUUAUUGGGCGUAAAGAGCGUGUAGGCGGCCAUACAGGUCAGCUGUGAAAACUCGAGGCUCAACCUCGAGACGCCGAUGGAAACCAUUUGGCUAGAGUCCGGAAGAGGAGAGUGGAAUUUCGUGUGUAGGGGUGAAAUCCGUAGAUCUACGAAGGAACGCCAAAAGCGAAGGCAGCUCUCUGGGUCCCUACCGACGCUGGGGUGCGAAAGCAUGGGGAGCGAACAGG